GACGAACGCUGGCGGCGUGCCUAAUACAUGCAAGUCGAACGCAGUGGGGACGGGUGAGUAAAACGUGGGUAACCUCCCAUCAGAGGGGAUAACACUUGGAAACAGGUGCUAAACCGAUACUGAUGGAUGAACCAGCGUUGCAUUAGCGAGUUGGUGAGGUAACGGCUCACCACGGCCACGAGGCAUAGCCGCCCUGCUAGGGUGAUGGGCCACACAGGGACGGCGACACGGCCAAGACUCCUACGUGAGGCAGCAGUAGGGAAUCUUCGGCAAUGGACGAAAGUCUGACCGAGCAACGCCGCGUGAGUGAAGAAGGUUUUCGGAUCGUAAAACUCUGUUGUUAGAGAAGCGGUAUCUAACCAGAAAGCCACGGCUAACUACGUGCCAGCAGCCGCGGUAAUAC
rnacentral:rRNA from 1 species